UAUCUCUGUAGAGUCUGCAUAUCAAUAAGCGGAGGAAAAGAAACUAACUAGGAUUCCCUCAGUAACGGCGAGUGAAGCGGGAAGAGCUCAAAUUUGAAAUCUUCAAGGUUUUACCUUGACGAAUUGUAGUUUAAAGAAGUGUUUUCUGUUGGAUGUUUUGGUAAAAGUUCUUUGGAAUAGGACAUCAUAGAGGGUGAGAAUCCCGUAUUUGACCAUUAUUUCCAGCUUUGUGAUACACUUUCAAAGAGUCGGAUUGUUUGGGAAUGCAGUCCAAAAUGGGUGGUAAAUUUCAUCUAAAGCUAAAUAUUGGCGAGAGACCGAUAGCGAACAAGUACCGUGAGGGAAAGAUGAAAAGAACUUUGAAAAGAGAGUUAAACAGUACGUGAAAUUGUCAAAAGGGAAGCGUUUGACACCAGUGUUGUUUCUACGAAAAUCAAUUUAUGAUGGCUUGAUGCUAAGCUCUAAGACUUUAUCCGCUUGUUGUUUAGUUUUCUUGUCUUUGUGAAUGCACUUUUCGUGGAACAAGUCAACAUCAAUUUCUUUUGCUGUAAAAGGGUAAGAGGAAGGUGGCUUCGGCUUCGGUUGAAGUAUUUAUAGCCUUUUAUCUCUGCAGUCGGAGAGAUUGAGGUCUGCAGCGUAGACUCUUCGGGGUUAGAUACGUCGGUGCUAAGCUAUAGCUUUUCAUAGACAACUUGUUGACUAUGUUUAGUCAUGUGGCUUACCCGCUGGCGCUAUUUUACCUACGCUUAGGAUGUUGAGUCAUCACACAUCUCU
rnacentral:rRNA from 1 species